rnacentral:snRNA from 1 species
AUACUUACAUGGACGGAGUCUAUGGUUGAUUAAGAAGAGUCAUGGCCUAAGUUAGCUGCAUCCAUUGCACUUGGCAAGUGGCAGAGUGGACGAACGUCAUAAUUUAUGAUAGAGGGGGCACAUGUUCGUGCGGCCUCUA